AGAGUUUGAUCAUGGCUCAGGACGAACGCUGGCGGCGUGCCUAACACAUGUAAGUCGAACGGGACUCGGGGGGCAACUCUCGAGUUCAGUGGCAGACGGGUGCGUAACACGUGAGAAACUUGUCCAUCGGUGGGGGAUAGCCGGCCCAACGGCCGGUUAAUACCGCGUACGAUCGUUUAGGGGCAUCCCUGAAUGAGGAAAGCAUCGCAAGAUGCGCCGGCGGAGAGUCUCGCGGCCUAUCAGCUAGUUGGCGGGGUAACGGCCCACCAAGGCGACGACGGGUAGCUGGUCUGAGAGGAUGGCCAGCCACAUUGGGACUGAGACACGGCCCAGACUCCUACGGGAGGCAGCAGUGGGGAAUCUUGCGCAAUGGCCGCAAGGCUGACGCAGCGACGCCGCGUGUGGGAUGACGGCCUUCGGGUUGUAAACCACUGUCGGGAGGAACGAAUACGCGAUGAUGAAUCGCGGGUGACGGUACCUCCAAAGGAAGCACCGGCUAACUCCGUGCCAGCAGCCGCGGUAAUACGGAGGGUGCGAGCGUUGUCCGGAAUCACUGGGCGUAAAGGGCGCGUAGGUGGCCCGUUAAGUGGUCGGUGAAAUCCCGGGGCUCAACUCCGGGGCUGCCGAUCAGACUGGCGAGCUAGAGCACGGUAGGGGCAGAUGGAAUUCCCGGUGUAGCGGUGGAAUGCGUAGAGAUCGGGAAGAAUACCAGUGGCGAAGGCGUUCUGCUGGGCCGUUGCUGACACUGAGGCGCGACAGCGUGGGGAGCAAACAGGAUUAGAUACCCUAGUAGUCC
rnacentral:rRNA from 1 species